rnacentral:rRNA from 1 species
AUUGAACGCUGGCGGCAGGCUUAACACAUGCAAGUCGAGCGGGGGAAGGUAGCUUGCUACCGGACCUAGCGGCGGACGGGUGAGUAAUGCUUAGGAAUCUGCCUAUUAGUGGGGGACAACAUCUCGAAAGGGAUGCUAAUACCGCAUACGUCCUACGGGAGAAAGCAGGGGAUCUUCGGACCUUGCGCUAAUAGAUGAGCCUAAGUCGGAUUAGCUAGUUGGUGGGGUAAAGGCCUACCAAGGCGACGAUCUGUAGCGGGUCUGAGAGGAUGAUCCGCCACACUGGGACUGAGACCAGGCCCAGACUCCUACGGGAGGCAGCAGUGGGGAAUAUUGGACAAUGGGGGGAACCCUGAUCCAGCCAUGCCGCGUGUGUGAAGAAGGCCUUAUGGUUGUAAAGCACUUUAAGCGAGGAGGAGGCUACUUUAGUUAAUACCUAGAGAUAGUGGACGUUACUCGCAGAAUAAGCACCGGCUAACUCUGUG